GAUAACCACAUGUAGUCCCUCGCCCUGUUUGAGAUAAACGUGUGCAUUGAUGUAAUUCAUUGAUAGCCACCUGGGCGGCUGCAAAUGGGUACAGGCUUUAAAAGUGGGAUUCAAACCAGCCCAGUGCUCACCUGUCGAGACAGCCACAAAGGCACGUCCUCUUGUCAGUCUGGCAAGUGACACCGUUCCACACUCCUCUCUCUGCCAGAUGACAGAAGAAUGGCCAGUACCUCCCGAUUGAGACGGCCGAGCUCUGGGGUGAGGAAUGCCGGCCCCCUGCGUCCGGACCAGCCCAGCCCAGCUGCCAGACCCCAGAGGACAGCACCACCGGGAUCCCAGUUAAGCCUGUACCCUCAGCAGCAGGAAUUGUUGUGACCUGCAUUUGUGGCUCACAUUUUGAUUUUUGGGGAGUGCUGGCCCAAAUGACCUCCGAAGUGGUGAUACCAAACUCACCCCAACAGCACUGCUUCUGAACUCCCUGAGAUUCUUGCUAACAUGUGAUGCAUCGGAGAGAAUGCCUGCCACCAAGAAAGUGAGAAGAGCGACUGAUUCAAGAGUGCAAUUGAUUUGACAAUAACAAUCUGAGCCGCACUGUAAGCUGGUGGCAGCCCGCUGUUCUCCGAAAUUCAGAGGACAAAUAGAUGCUCCUUUGGAACUGAGUGUGCUGAUCCAGCACUUCCCUUGGCUCCCUACCAAGACCAUAAACAUCUGUGCUUUAAAAAUGUUAAAUGAGAAGUAACACCACUCCAGAGAAAAGCAUUGGCUGUCUCCCAGAUUAAUAUGGGUUAUGGUCCAUGAUUGGGUUCGAUGAGCUGAACACAGACUUAAAAAAGAACCCACAACUUUAAAUACAUUCUACAAUGCUUUACAGAAGCAAACUAAAACAACAAAGCCAUAACAUCACAAUGAUUAAAAAGCUGGUUUUUGUUUAAAACACCCAGCAUGGACUGAACACACGAAUGUUCCUAACCUGCCAACUGAUUUCCCCAGAUUAUAUCAGGUGCGUGCUGUAAUAUCUGCUUCAUGAGAAGACCAGGCGCUUCCAUGGGGACUCCUGAAAGCCCUGCCAACAGGAGAGAGGCCAGCUGCCACUGGGGGCAGGUCGGGCUGGGACAGAGAACUGGAGAGCGUCUGGCCCAUGGACAUGCCCUGCAGAGCUGAGCAGAGAACUGAGAUGGAAGAAAACACCCAAGAUUAUGCUGUGGGAACAAAGGAGAGCUUCUAACCCACAAAUAUGUCCCUAUCGAUCUGCACAGGCUCUGACUUCACACAGAGCUUCACUUUACAUAAGAAAUAGAACCUGAAGUCAGUGUAUGUGACAUAUUGUGAAAAAUCCUCUAUUAUAAAAAGGCCAUGGUCACGCCCUCACACCAUAAUGACUGGUCACCAGGAGGCUGCCUCGCAAGGAACAUGUGAGUGAGCGGGAACUUGAUGCUGAGUCCCUGAGGGCGCUGGCGGGGCCUUGACACUGAGUUCCCACGGGUGCCGGCGAUUUCGAGAGGAUUAAAACAGAAAAAUUAUUACUGAAUGGGAAACCCAAUAAAAAGCCCUAUUAUUGGAAAGAAAAGGAGGAUUCUGCAUUCACUUCUAGUUAAAGCUAGAACAUGGAAGAUGAAGGCUGUGACCAUCAACUAGAGAGAGACUGGCUGCUGAUGCUGGGAACUCAGGUUGGUCUGACCAUGUCCCUCACGUAGUUGGAGCUCCGGCCAGAAGUGUCCUGUGUCUGAGCCACUGCUGAAGAUGGUGCUUUGCUGCAGGACCGCUGGGGUGGGAGGAAGGGCCAGUGGGAGGCACUGUUACGCUAAUGCCAUGCCUUGUCCCUCACCUGUUGCCCCUGUUAACCCUUUGAGUGCCAACCAAUAUCCUAGGAACUAUGCUAAAAUUGCCAAGGCAUUUUUUCUGAUUUUACAACAGUUUAGGAAAAAAAUUAUG